rnacentral:lncRNA from 1 species
AUGUACCGAUCUCUGAUUUGGGACCAUUUUCCGUGGAGUUCAGUUUUUGUCGUCCUUCAUCCUUUUGACAUCGAUUUGCUUAAUUCAGUGGCAUGACGAUGGUUCCUUCGGGGAUGACCGCGAAUCGAUGGCAUGAUGUGCGCCUUCCACAAGAGGCAGUUUUCCCGAUUGAGCUUCUCGGUGACAGGGUGGCCAAGCUGCACUGCCAUGUGCACAGCUGCACCGGUCGAGCUCCAUUAGGAGGCCGGAGGAGAGAAUAGUAGAUGCAAUUGAAGAGCGAGGCUCUGAACUAUAUAAAUAAAAUGAGGUUGAUUUGGGUACAGAUUUGGAUGUAUGAAUUAUCAUGUAAAAAAAGAUGGAGUAUCAAGAAGGAAAGGGUAAAAACAUAAAUGCAUAAUCUAACCCACAGGGUAAAAUGGAGAAAGAAAGACGUCUGCAGUUUCUUAUUUUCCCCUUCAUCUCCAUCGAUCUAGUUCUCUCUACAGAGACAGGUAAAAAAAAUCAUACUUAACUAAAAUCUAGAAUAAGAAAAUAUACUAAACUACACUUGCUCGAUCGGUACUCCGGUCCCUCCCAGAGGCGUACUGGGUACCGGGAAAAUAAAUCUCAUAUGUAUAUACAUAUAUAUAAUAUAUAGGUCAUGCAUCAAAUACAACAACUAGCUAACCUUGUAAUCUACGUACAACAUAACAACUCAACAGAUUAGCAACAAACUAUUCAUUUAAACACAAAUCAAGAUUAUGUUUUUGAGGAUUCUGACUUCCAACCAAACAAUUAGCAACAAACUAAUCGUCUCAACACUCACACUGUCAAGAUCGAGUACUUGCUGGUGUCUAGAGGGAAAAUUAAUAAAGUGACCAAGGUUUCCAAUCGAUGGCCAAAUUUGUUAUAUUACCUGAAUCCACCACGACACCAUGCUCUGCAACCCCAGUUGACGAUCCUCGGGCCUCUCACUGCUAUGAUGCCAUCUUCUCAGCUUGUGCUGUCCAGACAGGUGCAAAUUAAUCCUUCAAUGAUAUAAAGGUUUUGUGCAUCGAUUGAAAUUUACUUGUAAUAAAGCUGCAGCUGGUGUAUGCAUAAUGUUUAUAUCCAUACAAGGCUGUGCAGGUAAAUGACCACCACAAGAUUUGCAACCAGCUCAAAUGUCCAUUCAGCACACACAGAAAAGACACGCAUCCAGGUAUGAUAUAUAAGUAUAAAAACAGUAUAAUUGUUAGUUUCUCCUGUUUACCAUUAGCUUUUACGGCUGACAUCGAUUGAACUGCACUGGGGGAGGAGGCAGCAGGGGAAGACAACAAAGGGAAGAUCUCAGACAUCAUAACCAAGUACAUGAUCAUAUAUAUGUUGGUACGCUGUACAGUCGGAAUUGUCAACUGUAAACCUGCAAUUUCACCAAAAAUGGAAGCAUUAUUUGAAGAAUAAAUAUGUUCCUGGUCAUAGCUCCAUUUUCUAUAUCAUUGCGGACAUAAAAAAAGAACAAAAAAAUGAUCUAUGCGACAUCGGCGAUGAUGGCUGGGUGGGGAGGAGCACCAUGCUAACCUGGACCUAGGACUAACGAGAUGUGAACAAUUAGAACUGGCCAGUGGUCCUCCCGUUUAUUACAGACCGCCAUUUUAGAAAAAACACAGAUAGCCAAUACCAUUAAGAUGAUGAGAAAACAAAACUUAUGUACAAAUAACGAUCUAUAAUUAUCCACCAUGCCCAGAUAACCAGUUUGCAUAAAAUGGCAUGGUAACAAGAGUCCAUCCACAAUUAGUAGAUAAUGACAAGGUUAAAAUAAUUCAUACCUUCAAAGGUACAUGAGGAUAAGUUAGCCUCUAAGAAUAUGAGAAUCCAAACGGUUCUCCUGAUCCAAUUAGAGUACUGUUUAUGCAAACUCAAAUUUAAAGCAAAAUAAAAUUAAAAAAAUGAAAAAUACUUGCAGCAGUAGAGAUAAAAUUGCAUCUCUCACGAUACACCCUGUGUGAAUAAACACAUGCAGUAGAAUAUGAAUACAGUAGUAUUUAUAUUCGUUAUGGUGUCAUGGCAGCAAAAUCUGGACAACUAUCCCAUGAUUUUGAAAAAAACUAAGCCAAUACCGAUACGAGGGUGUAGAGGAGGAUUGAAUCAUAUAUAAAUCCCCAUGCAUAAUUAGCAUCCAAGAAACUAAACCUUCCAGUAGAUAUCAAAUUGCAAAUCGUAUAUCGAUCCAAUUAAUAUCAUAAUUUUUUUCCGAGAGAUUCAACUUCAAAAUGUAGCGAUGAAGAAGAAGAACGAAAUCCUGAGAAAUUAAUAGCUGGAGUCGCAGCACAUCAGGAAGCACGACAGUGGCGCCUGGGUCUGGACGUUAACACGUGACCACAAGUAUAUAUAAUUAUCAACCAGGGAGAUCUACCAAUACAAUGAUAAGAAAACAGAAACUAUGUCCAAAUAACCAUAAAUAAUUACACCAUGCCCAGAUAAUCAGUUUGCAUAAAAUAGCAUGGUACCAUGCUAAUCUGGACCUAGGACCGAUGAGGCGAUCUGGAUAAUUUGAACUGUUGCCAGUGGUCCUCUCCGUCGACUCGUAUGUAUUUUAAGAAAAAAGACAGAUAGUCAAUCAGGGAGAUAUAUACCAUUAAAAUGAUAAGAAAACAGAACCUAUAUUCAAAUAACCAUAUAUGAUUGUCCACCAUGCCUAGAUAAUCAGUUUGCAUAAGAUAUGUCAUGGUAACAAGAGUCCAUCCACAGUUAGCAGAUAAUGACAAGAUGAACACAAUUCAUACCUUCAAAGAUAUGAGUAAAUUAAGUUAGCCUUAACAGAAAAGGCAGGAGUAUUGCUGUUCACUAAAAAGGAGAAUUAGAUAUUUACAAGAAAGUGCCUAGAAUUGGAGGGCCAAGGCGCACAACCCCCAAAAAACACAGAAAACGGCUACACUCUAACACCAGUCCACACAACCGGGUUAACCUCGUUAGCCCACAAAAAGGACUUGAAAUCCUCCUGAUAAGCCUUGGAAGUAACUUCAUCCUCCUUCAUGGACUCAUUGUUGAAAAUUUUGGGGUUACGCUCUUUCCACACAUGCAUUCCAAAGAC